AACAUCGCCUCCUGCAAAAAUCAAUGUAUAGGAGGUCCUGCCUGCCCAGUGACAACUUGUUAAACGGCCGCGGUAUUUUGACCGUGCUAAGGUAGCGCAAUCACUUGUCUUUUAAAUGAAGACCUGUAUGAAUGGUGGAACGAGGGCUUAACUGUCUCCCUUCUCCCGUCAAUGAAAUUGAUCUGCCCGUGCAGAAGCGGGCAUAUACAUACAAGACGAGAAGACCCUUUGGAGCUUAUUGGGGCGACCGCGGGGGAAAAUAAAGCCCCCACGUAAAACCGAGAGAGACAUCUCUAAGCCACAGAAUAUCUGACCAAAAGAUCCGGCCCACAAGCCGAUCAACGAACCAAGUUACCCUAGGGAUAACAGCGCAAUCCCCUCCAAGAGUUCAUAUCGACGAGAGGGUUUACGACCUCGAUGUUGGAUCAGGACAUCCUAAUGGUGCAGCCGCUAUUAAGGGUUCGUUUGUUCAACGAUUAAAGUCCUACGUGAUCU
rnacentral:rRNA from 1 species